GUCACCCAGCAUUUGUGUGCAAAUGGAGCCCUGUUACCCAUCAGUUCCGGCUUCCCUGGUGUGGGCUCAGCUUUCACAGACCUGGAGAGUCCUGCCCGGCUGCUUCCGGGGUCCUGCACACAGGUUGGAGUCCACCCCUCAUCCCGGGCGUCCGCUGCUCUUCCCCUGGCACCCUGCACGCUGGGUCCCUGCAGCUCACACGGGGUCGCCCUCGGCGACGAGGCCACUGAGCUGCACUUCCUGGGUUGGGAGACCAUUUCCUGAGGGCGUUUUAAUGGAGCCGUGGAGUUUGCGAUGAGCAUAAAAUCUGCAUUGAUGUGACUGGAAAAACCAGAAAAAAACUCAUCUUCUUUCAAAGUGAAAUAGUUUUGUUUUUGUCUUUGUUUUUUGUUUUUUGAGACAGAGUCUCGCUCUGUCACUCAGGCUGGAGCACGGCGGCUUGAUCCCGACUCACUGCAACCUCUGCCUCCUGGGUUCAAGUGAUUCUCCUGCCUCAGCCUCCAGAGUCGCUGGGACUACAGGCACGAGCCACCGUGCCCGGCUAAUUUUUUGUGUUUUUGUAUAGAGACAGGGUUUCACCAUGUUGGCCAGGAUGGUCUCAAUCUCCUGACCUCAUGAUCCACCCAUCUCUAUCUCCCAAAGUGCUGGGAUUACAGGCAUGAGUCACCUCGCCCAGCCAUGAAAUAGGUUUCAAGGUAAAAGACCUAGGCCAAACAUAAAUGUUUAAAGUAGAAAUUCUGCGUAAUUCUAGACCCUGCAGUCACCCUUCUCGCCACCCAGCACCACCUCCCCUGACUCCACACGUGUGUUCACGAGAGGGAGCUGCACGGUGACGGGACUGCCGCCGACGCACAGGCAGAGACGUCAGGCUUAAUGGCGCACUGCAGCCAGCUGUAUGGAUUUAGGGGAACUUAUUCCACCAGCUCUUCAUGGAGAGUUAGACAGUUUCCAAUAAUUUGCUGUUAUAAAUGAUAAUGAUAUGAAUGUUCUUGCAUGUACAGAAGAUGUGUACUUCUCCCUGUUAAUUACACACAAUGCACGAUGCUCAGUCGGUGGGUCUGAGUCCAAAACAAAACCCCAGCUGACACUGUGGAGCCAUUGGGAUCCGUCUACUCACCCACCCUCCCAUCCAUCCGUCCACUCACCCACCCUCCCAUACAUCCGUCCACUCACCCACCCUCCCAUCCAUCCGUCCACUCACCCACCCUCCCAUCCAUCCGUCCACUCACCCAUCCAUCCAUCCAUCCACUCAACCGUGCACCCAUCCAUCCACUCAUCCAUCCAUCCACCAAUUCACCCAUCCAUCUACCCAUCCAUCCAUCCACUCAGCCAUCCAGCCAUCCAUCCACUCAUCCAUCCAUCCACCAACUCACCCAUCCAUCCAUCCACUCACCCAUACAUCCACCCAUCCAUCCAUUCAUUCACCCAUCCUCCCAUCCACAAACCCACUCACCCAUCCAUCUAUCUAUCCACUCACCCAACCAUCCACUCAUCCAUCCACCCAUCCACUCACCCAUACAUCCACCCAUCCAUCCAUUCAUUUACCCAUCCUCCCAUCCACAAACCCACUCACCCAUCCAUCCAUCCAUCCACUCACCCAUCCAUCCACUCAUCCAUCCACCCAUCCACUCACCCAUACAUCCACCCAUCCAUCCAUCCAUUCACCCAUCCUCCCAUCCACAAACCCACUCACCCAUCCAUCCAUCCAUCCACCCAUCCAUCCACUCAUCCAUCCACCCAUCCACUCACCCAUACAUCCACCCAUCCAUCCAUCCACUCACCCAUCCUCCCAUCCACAAACCCACUCGCCCAUCUACCCACUCAUCCAUCCACUCACUCACCAAUCCACCCACUCACUUACCUACUCAUCCACUAAUUCAUUCACUCACCCACCUAUCCAUCCAUUCUUUUUUUUUUGGGGGGGACAGAGUCUCGCUCUGUCAUGCAGAGUGGAGUGUAGCAGUAUGACCUCGGCUCACUGAACCUCCGUCUCCUGGGUUCAAGUGAUUCUCCUGCCUCAGCCUCUUGAAUAGUGGGAUCACAGGCUCAAGCCACCACGCC
ensembl:lincRNA